rnacentral:rRNA from 1 species
GCGGGACGGCGCGUGCUGGUCCGCUGCGUUCUCAGCGCCAUGCCGACCUUUGCGCUCACCGUCCUGAAGGUGCCAAAAAAGAACCUCAAAGAAAUUGACAGAUGCCGCCGCCAUUUCCUUUGGAAGCAAGACAAGGAAAUCUCCGGCGCAAGUUGCAAAGUUAGCUGGGCAGCGGUUUGCACUCCAACGAAAAAUGGAGGCCUAGGAGUCCCUGACCUCUCGCGGUUUGGACGUGCCCUUCGCCUACGCUGGCCCUGGCUCGCAUGGCGCCACCCUAAGCGCCCAUGGGUGGGCUCGGUCCUGCCUUGCAACGACGAUGACCUCUCCCUCUUCACGGUGGCCACCUCAGUCAGCAUCGGCGAUGGCGCGACGGUGUCCUUCUGGCACUCUCAUUGGAUGGGGUCGGGCACGCUCGCCCAGCAAUUCCCAUGGUUGGUUCUGCAUGCUCCGAGAAAGAAUAGGACGGUGAAGGAGGCCCUGGCGGACGAAAGCUGA